CAAAAUUGAUUAAUCACCUUGUUUCAAUAAAUUGGCCAAGUGUGCAAAUGUGCAAAUGAUGAAUGUACACGUAAAGAAUAGUGACAGCAAUAUGUAACUAUAAGUGUCAUGUGCUGCUGCAGUAGAAACGAGUAGCUCCUUCGGGUCGUUCUUCAACCGGUCAGGAAGGAGCCGCUUGGGGGCAGCAGACGGCGGCCAGACGGCGAGGCGGACGGUAAAUCAUUCCUUAUGGAGCACUAAUUUCCCAGCUCCUGGCGACCCUCCGGCCCUUGCAAGCAGCGCGCGGCCCAGCACCAGGGAGGCAGUCCUGUUUAUCCCCCGAGAAGAAUGAUUAUCCAUGUUAUUGCGUUCCUCCCUGGCGGACUGUUUGCCUCACGCCGCGAAAGAUGGGUCAGCCGUUUGUCUCCCGGAUGAGUCUUCGCCCCAAUGAAACACCUGCGUCCCCAUGGAGGUCACUGAAAGCAGAGACAUCCAUGGAGAAGACGCGGGAUACUCGCUAUAACAAGAAUGCAUCUGUAAGUUCCUCAGACUUCCCCCCCCCAAAAAAAAAAAAAUACUUAUAACUUCCCCCGACGAACAAAACUCUACCUAAAAGUUUCCUAGACUAACGAAACUGCGCCUGAAAAUUAACCAAACCAACAAAACCAAACUGCUCAAUUCCGCACGCCAACAAAAA